AGAGUUUGAUCCUGGCUCAGGACGAACGCUGGCGGCGUGCUUAACACAUGCAAGUCGAGCGAUGAAGCUCCUUCGGGAAGUGGAUUAGCGGCGGACGGGUGAGUAACACGUGGGCAACCUGCCUCAAAGAGGGGAAUAGCCCUCCGAAAGGAGGAUUAAUACCGCAUAAAGUUAGAGUUUCGCAUGAAACUUUAACCAAAGGAGUAAUCUGCUUUGAGAUGGGCCCGCGUCCCAUUAGCUAGUUGGUAAGGUAAUGGCUUACCAAGGCAACGAUGGGUAGCCGACCUGAGAGGGUGAUCGGCCACAUUGGAACUGAGACACGGUCCAGACUCCUACGGGAGGCAGCAGUGGGGAAUAUUGCGCAAUGGGGGAAACCCUGACGCAGCAACGCCGCGUGGGUGAUGAAGGUUUUCGGAUCGUAAAACCCUGUUUUCUGGGACGAUAAUGACGGUACCAGAUGAGGAAGCCACGGCUAACUACGUG
rnacentral:rRNA from 1 species